GGUCAUUUAGCUUAAUAGUACAGAGUGCUUAACUGGAGUUUGAGAUGCAUAGGAUUCGAAGUUCUGUAGAGGCUU
rnacentral:tRNA from 1 species